CCUACGGGAGGCAGCAGUGAGGAAUAUUGGUCAAUGGACGAGAGUCUGAACCAGCCAAGUAGCGUGAAGGAUGACUGCCCUAUGGGUUGUAAACUUCUUUUAUAUUGGAAUAAAAUGUUCCACGUGUGGGAUUUUGUAUGUACCAUAUGAAUAAGUAUCGGCUAACUCCGUGCCAGCAGCCGCGGUAAUACGGAGGUUCCGAGCGUUAUCCGGAUUUAUUGGGUUGACAGGGCGCGUAGGUGGAUUGUUAAGUCAGUUGUGAAAGUUUGCGGCUCAACCGUAAAAUUGCAGUUGAAACUUGCAGUCUUGAGUACAGUAGAGGUGGGCGGAAUUCGUGGUGUAGCGGUGACAUGCUUAGAUAUCACGAAGAACUCCGAUUGCGAAGGCAGUUCACUGGACUGCAACUGACACUGAGGCUCGAAAGUGUGGGUAUCAAACAGGAGUAGAUACCCUAGUAGUC
rnacentral:rRNA from 1 species